rnacentral:rRNA from 1 species
UACGAAGGGGCUAGCGUUGCUCGGAAUCACUGGGCGUAAAGGGUGCGUAGGCGGGUUUUAAGUCAGGGUGAAAUCCUGGAGCUCAACUCCAGAACUGCCUUUGAUACUGAAGAUCUUGAGUCCGGGAGAGGUGAGUGGAACUGCGAGUGUAGAGGUGAAAUUCGUAGAUAUUCGCAAGAACACCAGUGGCGAAGGCGGCUCACUGGCCCGAUACUGACGCUGAGGCACGGAAAGCG